rnacentral:snoRNA from 1 species
AAAUAUGAUGAUUAUUUUUGUCGACCGGGCGGACAUAGUUUAGUAUCUGUUGGGUGGUAGCUGUUGCAAUUUAAGUUCUCUUCUUGUGUACAAAUUUUUAAAGAGGAGGAUGGCAGUGGCAUUAUUAUCACCUGGCAGAGAAUGGAUGAUUGGUCACAAGAUAGCUGAUU